rnacentral:misc_RNA from 1 species
AAGUCGUAACAAGGUUUCCGUAGGUGAACCUGCGGAAGGAUCAUUAUUGAAUAAACUUGGUCAAGCUGUUGCUGGUCCCUCGGGGCAUGUGCACGCUUGCCACCAAUUUUAACCACCUGUGCACCUUUUGUAGAUUAGAAACGUUUCUCGAGGCAACUCGGAUUGAGGACUGCUGUGCGCAAGCCGGCUGUUCUUGUGUUUCUCAAUCUAUGUUUUCAUAUACCCCAAAUGUAUGUAUCAGAAUGUAUUGUUAGGCCUCUGUGCCUUUAAAUCAAAUACAACUUUCAACAACGGAUCUCUUGGCUCUC